AGAGUUUGAUCCUGGCUCAGAUUGAACGCUGGCGGUAUGCCUUACACAUGCAAGUCGAACGGUAGAGGGGCAACCCUUGAGAGUGGCGAACGGGUGAGUAAUACAUCGGAACGUGCCCAGUCGUGGGGGAUAACGUAGCGAAAGCUACGCUAAUACCGCAUACGACCCGAGGGUGAAAGCGGGGGACUCGCAAGAGCCUCGCGCGAUUGGAGCGGCCGAUGGCAGAUUAGGUAGUUGGUGGGGUAAAGGCCCACCAAGCCUGCGAUCUGUAGCUGGUCUGAGAGGACGACCAGCCACACUGGGACUGAGACACGGCCCAGACUCCUACGGGAGGCAGCAGUGGGGAAUUUUGGACAAUGGGCGAAAGCCUGAUCCAGCCAUACCGCGUGCGGGAAGAAGGCCUUCGGGUUGUAAACCGCUUUUGUCAGGGAAGAAAUCCUUUGGGUUAAUACCUCGGGGGGAUGACGGUACCGAAGAAUAGCC
rnacentral:rRNA from 1 species